rnacentral:rRNA from 1 species
UACGUAGGGUGCGAGCGUUAAUCGGAAUUACUGGGCGUAAAGUGUGCGCAGGCGGCCAUGCAAGUCGAGUGUGAAAGCCCCGAGCUUAACUUGGGAAUUGCGCUUGUGACUGGCGUGCUGGAGUGUGGCAGAGGGAGGUGGAAUUCCACGUGUAGCAGUGAAAUGCGUAGAGAUGUGGAGGAACACCGAUGGCGAAGGCAGCCUCCUGGGCCAGCACUGACGCUCAUGCACGAAAGCGUGGGGAGCAAACAGG